rnacentral:rRNA from 1 species
UACGUAGGGUGCGAGCGUUGUCCGGAAUUAUUUGGGCGUAAAAGAGCUCGUAGGGCGGGUUUUUGUCGCGUCGACUGUGAAAACCCUACAGCUUUAAACUGUGGGCUUUGCAGUCGAUACGGGGCAGACUUUAGUUCGGGUAGGGGGAGACUGGGAAAUUCCUGGGUGUAGCGGGUGAAAAUGCGCAGAUAUCAGGGAGG